rnacentral:rRNA from 1 species
AAACCGUUCAGGGGUAAACCUGAGAAACCCGAAAGUUCGAAAGGAGAGAUUCACCGCGACUCGUGUCGUCGGCGAGGACGAGCACGGACGUCGGUCGGACCUCGGUUCGGUCGCGCCGUACGCGUCCCGUCGUGGCGUGCGAUCGCGUGCACUUCUCUCCCAGUAGGACGUCGCGACCCGUUGGGCGUCGGUCUACGAUCGACGGUGGAGUCCGCGGAAUCGGCAUUCGCGUGCCGUGUCCGCGAACCCGUCGCAUCCGGCCGGCUCGCUCGACGGUAGUCAGAAAGGGCGCGGGGCCGCGACCAGUUCGCGUCCGGCCCGUCGCAAGCAAGUUCGGUAAUUCGGUGCACUCGGCGGCCUCGUGUCUCCGGUCCCGGAUCCGAGCUACUGUUCGCGGCGGUGUCCUCGGACAGACCCCGUAUACACGCCCGUCAGCGACGCUAUCGCUUUGGGUACUUUCAGGACCCGUCUUGAAACACGGACCAAGGAGUCUAGCAUGCACGCGAGUCUUCGGGACUCUUUUAACUAAUCCUAAAGGCGAAAUGAAAGUGAAGGUCCGCCUCGGCGCGCGACCCAGGGAAGAUGAGGAGCCCCGAAAUGGGCGACUCCGCACUCCCGGGGCGUCUCGAUCUCAUCGCGAGAUGAGGCGCACCCAGAGCGUACACGCU